UUCCAGUCUAAUAGAUGUUAACUGAAAUCUUGUUUUAUUCUUGAAUUUUCCUGAUUACCAAUCAGGAUAGGUGCAUUUUCACAUGUUUAAUAGGACAUUUGGAUUUUCUCUUCUGUUCAUUGCCUGUUCAUUUAUCUUGUCCAUUUCCUUGUUGUUUUCCUUUCUCUCUAUAUCUUUCUGAUAUGUAAGAUUUUAAAUAUUUAGGGUGAUUUAAUGAAUACUAAUAUUCAAUAUUUAUUUAAUAACAUUUAAUAUUAGCAUUUUUCUCUCGCUCUGAGUGGUUCUGGGGAUUCUCCCUCUCUGUGUCACCUCUACACGUGGCCUCUCACAGCGGCCAUGUUUCUUACAAGGUGGGUCAGGUCUCCCAAGAGUGCAAAAGGGGAAGCAGCCAGGCUUAAAGGCCAGGGAUGGAACUGACCCCCUGUCAAUCUCCCACUCACAGACCAGUCUGCACUCAAGGGAGCAGCCCACCGAAUGGUGUGAAUUCCAGGAGAUGUUGUUCACUGGAGGCAACUAAGGCUGUUCUUGAAACUUGCCGUCCCUGUUCAUCCUCAUCGUCCGCCCUGCGGUCUUCUGAGUCAUCUCACCUGAAGGUCUUGGAGCUCUGCUUCAUUUCAAGAGCUGCAGGCAACCACGUAGGUAAUAAUGUUUUUAGUCUUCCCUGAUCUCAUAAAAGCAGAAUUCUGACUCAGUUACAUUCUCCAGAGAGGCAAAGCUGUACUUGUAUGUGUCUAAGCAAAGAGUUAGUCACACAAAUAGUGUGGGGUUGCUAAGCAAUAUAAUACACAUUUCAUUAUUUGCAACAAUGGCGCUGUUUGCUGUCAGUGCCUGUAAUGUGUGCGGGAUUCCAAGCUAAAGUCCCGAGGACAUAGAUACAGUGAGGUCCCGAAGAGUCAUACAUGGUAUCUUUUAGUUUCAACCCAUAUUCUCCUUUCUCCUCCCCAAGUCUCUUUGGAUCAAUUUCGCACUUCAUAAUCAGGAGUGAAAUAAGAUGUACAAGGGUGGGAGAGUUGGCUGAUGAACUGUUUAGUGCUGACUUUGUCGGUUAGCUGAGAUAUCAACAUAUCUGGGCUUUACUUGUGUGUGUGUGUAUGUGUGUCUGUGGACUAAUUCAACCCUACAAACACCCACGGCUAACUUCUAUUGGUUCUUUGGGUGUCAGCUUAAAUAUCACUUUUCCCCAAAAGCCACCCAAGACUGGGUUAGGUAUCUCCUGGUAUGGGUAUUUGUUGUUGUUAUUAUUGUUGUUUCUAGUUGUUAACAUCCAAAACCCAUACUGAAUUUGGGGAAGAAUUCCCUUACUUCCCUUACUUUAAUGGGGUCCUUUACUCUUCUUCCCGUUGAGGAAGCUGAAUGACAGGAGAUUCUUUCUCUCCUAUCCUCUGGCAGUCCAAGUCCCAUCCAGUCAGAUUCUACUUUCUGGAAUUUUGGAUCAUGAGUAAGUGACACAAAGACAAAAAAAGAUGGCUUUUUGGCUCCCCAUUUUCUGGCCUUGCUUCUCCAGUCCCUCUAGAUUCUAUAAGAGUCCCCCACAGCUGUUCGUGGAAUCUUUUUGCCUAAAUCAGCCAGAAUCAGUUCCCAAGCUUGCCCCAUGAACCCUGAAUGAGCUUGCAGAGUAUCUGUACUGGUUUCUUAUGGCUGCAUAACAAAUUAUGAAUUUUGUGGAUUAAAAUAACAGAAAUGUAUUGUCUCAGGUCAGAAAUCUGAAAUCAUAUCACUGGGCUGAAAUCAAAGUUGGCAGGGCCGUGCUCCCUCCAGAGACUCUAAGGGAGAAUCCUUUCCUUGCCUCUUCCAGCUUGCAGCUUCUGGAGGCUGCCAUCAUUCUUUGGCUUGGUUUGUGGUUGCAUCACUCCAUUCUCUGCCUCUGUGGUCACUCUGUUUUCUCCUUUUCUGUAUGUGUCAUAUCUCCCUCUGCUUCCUUUUUAUAAAGAUACAUGUGAUUCCUUUUAGGGCCAAUCCAGAUAAUCUAGAAUAAUCUCCCCAUCUCAAGACCCUUAACUUAAUCACACCUGCAAAGAUGCUUUUUUGCCAUUUCAGUUAACAUCCACAGGUUCCAGGGCUUGGGUCGUGGAUAUCUUUUUGGGGCCAUUUUUCAGUACCAGAGUAUCCUCAGUUCAUCCUCUGCUGCUCUGGUCAUUGGUUUAUUUGUUUGUCGUCUUUACUUCUGAACUCCUGGAGCUCAGAAGCCAUUGUCCUGCCUAUCAUUUAUUCCUUGUGCCAGGCAUCUGGUAGGCACACAAGGAUGUUCAUUGAAUGAAUCAAUAAACAAGUUAAAUCUGAGACA
rnacentral:lncRNA from 1 species